GAUUUUUGUCAUGUCUGAAGCUCAGAUAACCAAACUAAAAGAAGAAACUAAACAGUUGCAAGCAGAGCUUGAAUUACCACGAAUAUUAACUUCUACUGCCUGCUCAGAUCUUAUAAAGUAUUGCCAAGAAAAACUUCCUUUGGAUCCUCUUGCUUCGCACUGCUUCGAUAAGACUAAUUACGACACGAAAAAAGCGCCUUGUACACUUAUAUGAAAGUUUUUUAACUUUUGUUUAAAGAAACAAAAA